GACGAACGCUGGCGGCGUGCCUAAUACAUGCAAGUCGAGCGAUGAUUAAAGAUAGCUUGCUAUUUUUAUGAAGAGCGGCGAACGGGUGAGUAACGCGUGGGAAAUCUGCCGAGUAGCGGGGGACAACGUUUGGAAACGAACGCUAAUACCGCAUAACAAUGAGAAUCGCAUGAUUCUUAUUUGAAAGAAGCAAUUGCUUCACUACUUGAUGAUCCCGCGUUGUAUUAGCUAGUUGGUAGUGUAAAGGACUACCAAGGCGAUGAUACAUAGCCGACCUGAGAGGGUGAUCGGCCACACUGGGACUGAGACACGGCCCAGACUCCUACGGGAGGCAGCAGUAGGGAAUCUUCGGCAAUGGGGGCAACCCUGACCGAGCAACGCCGCGUGAGUGAAGAAGGUUUUCGGAUCGUAAAACUCUGUUGUUAGAGAAGAACGUUAAGUAGAGUGGAAAAUUACUUAAGUGACGGUAUCUAACCAGAAAGGGACGGCUAACUACGUGCCAGCAGCCGCGGUAAUACGUAGGUCCCAAGCGUUGUCCGGAUUUAUUGGGCGUAAAGCGAGCGCAGGUGGUUUAUUAAGUCUGGUGUAAAAGGCAGUGGCUCAACCAUUGUAUGCAUUGGAAACUGGUAGACUUGAGUGCAGGAGAGGAGAGUGGAAUUCCAUGU
rnacentral:rRNA from 1 species